rfam:Schistosoma mansoni strain Puerto Rico chromosome 2, complete genome
AUCCAGCUGAUUCGUCCCAAAUAGGACGAAACGCGCGUCAAGCUGGAU